rnacentral:lncRNA from 1 species
UCACGUGACCCUUACACAGCAUUAUCCAGAUCACAUGACCUUACGCAGCAUUAUUCAGGACCAGAGGAAACAGAGAAGGGACAAAAGCAAUUAUAUUUUCUCUCUUGUAUUAACUGUUGAAUAGGGAAUUGGAAUUGAAUUCUAAUAUCAUAGGUAUUUAAUGGUUUUAUUCAUUGUAUUCAAUUUUGAGAAGAAAAGCAAUGAGAAUCAGCAAAGCACAAAGUUGCCAAAGAAUAGAUGCUGCUCUGCCAGCCUGAAUGUAACAUUCAAAAUGUUCAGAGACGGAAAGCAUUGAUGAGGAAAAAAAGGUACUAUUUGGAUAAGCUUUCACAUAAAAAAGUACUAUUUGGAUAAGCUUUCACAUAAAAAAAGUCACACAAUUUCAAACUGUCUACAUAAUAGAUUCAGAUAUAAUUAAAACAAUAAUAAAACAGUCACCACGCCUCUGCUUUGAUUAAAAGUGUGGGCCUGCAGAAAUGUAACCACAAAAAAUUCACAGACAAAGCAAUAGGUGCAAGGACUGAUCAUCCAUGAUAAAAAUUAUAGUUUUAACCUUGUUUUGAGGCUAUAUGCUGUUUGUUUACAUUUACAUUGUUUACAAACGUUGGAGUAAAACAAGCUUAUUUUUGCGUUUCUGAUGGGGCAUUUAUACCGAGUGUACAAAACUUUAGGAACACCUGCUCUUUCGAUGACAAAGACUGACCAGGUGAAAGCUAUGAUCCCUUAUUGAUGUUACUUGUUAUUUCCACUUUAAUCAGUGUAACUGAAGGGGAGGAGACAGGUUAAAAAAUGAUUUUUAAGCCUUGAGACAAUUGAGAUAUGGAUUGUGUGUGUGCCAUUCAGAGAAGUAAAUGGGCAAGACAAAAUAUUUAAGUGCCGUUGAACGGGGUAUGGUAGUAGGAGCCAGGCGCACCGGUUUGUUUCAAAAACUGCAACGCUGCUAGAUUUUUCACUCUCAACAGUUUCCUGUGUGUAUCAAGAAUGGUCCAUCACCAACUCAAUAAUAUGAAGGUGUUCUUAAUGUUUUGUACACUCAGUGUAUAAGUUCUAUUCUUCAAGAAUCAUUGGUUAUAUAUUUUUAAGUACAGCAAAUGGAUGUAACAACUAAGGACUCUAGCUUUACAGCAUUGUAUUUUUUUAUGUAUUUUUCAUAAAGGUUGGGGAGGAAACAAUCAAUUGAGAAAGAUAAAGCUUCAGAUGGGAGGGGAAGGAUAAUACCCACAGAGACAGGAGGUAACAGUGAUGUGGUAGAAGUAUUGGACAGGAUGUGGUUAGAGAGCAUUAGUGAAAUGAAUGAAGGGAGUUCCUCAGAAGCGCUCCAUCUUGUCGAUGGAUCUCUCAUUGGAGAACGAGGCUGGGGUGAUGCGACAGCUGGUACUCCCCUCCUUACUCAGCCACACCUUCUGGUGAAGAGAGGGAGGGAGAGAGGGAGGGAGAGAGGGAGGGAGAGAGGGGGG